GAUGAACGCUGGCGGCGCGCCUAACACAUGCAAGUCGAACGAUUACAGCAUCUUCGGUUGUGUAUAAAGUGGCGAACGGCCGGGUAACACGUGGGUACCUUGCCCCUUUCAUUGGGAUAGCCACUGGAAACCGUGGACAUUACCGAAUACUUCGUACCUUCCGCAUGGAAGACCAGAGGAAGCUCCGGCGGGGAGGGAUGGGCCGGCGGCUUGUUAGCUUGCUGGGGGGGUAAUGGCCUACCAAGGCAAUGCUGGGUAGCUGGGUUGAGAAACCGACCAGGGACAAGGGGACUGCGAGACGGCGCAGACUGGUACGGGAGGCAACAGUGGGGAACCUUGCACAGUGGGCGAACGCGUGAUACAGCGACGCCGCGUGCGGGAUGAAGGCCUUCGGGGAGUAAACCGCAUUCAGCAGAGACGAGGCGAAAGUGACGGUACCUAAAGAAGAAGCCCCGGCUAACUACGUG
rnacentral:rRNA from 1 species